UACGUAGGGUGCGAGCGUUAAUCGGAAUUACUGGGCGUAAAGCGCGCGUAGGCGGCCCCGUAAGUCCGCUGUGAAAGUCAAAGGCUCAACCUUUGAAAGCCGGUGGAUACUGUGGGGCUAGAGUCCGGAAGAGGCGAGUGGAAGUUCCUGGUGUAGCGGUGGAAUGCGCAGAUAUCAGGAGGAACACCGAUAGCGAAGGCAGCUCGCUGGGACGGUACUGACGCUAAGGCGCGAAAGCGUGGGGAGCGAACAGG
rnacentral:rRNA from 1 species